UUCGUUGUUGUCAAACUGCGUUGGAAGAUUUCCUGGGACGACGGAUGGGGAUCGUCAGAGAGAAGAAGCCCAGAUCAUCUUCUCCGUCUUCUCCGUCGUCGACGUCGCCUUGCGCCGAUCUGAGAGCCGCCUACCACAAUUGCUUCAACAGGUGGUACUCGGAGAAGUUCGUGAAGGGUCAGUGGCAGAAGGAGGAGUGCGUGGCCGAGUGGCAGAAGUACCGAGCUUGCCUCUCCGAACAUUUGGAGGACAAGCACCUGAGCCGGUUCUUGGAAGCCGAAGGCCUCGACGGCACCGCGAGAGCUGCCGGUUUGGCGGGCGCGGCGGAUGGGCGCAGAGACUAGUUCGUCAGAUUGGCACUGCGUCGAGCGAUGAGAUAUCGAACGUGGAUGGUGAUUUUUUCGAGGUGAACUCACAAGGCUGGGAGACUUUGAUGCCCUAAGGGUCGUCUUGACAUCUGAAGAUUCCAUUAGGUGGUUGGGACUCGGAAGCGGUGCAGGAAUUUCUUGUUCUGAAAAUUAAAUCAGCCUAUUGUAUUUUACAUUGGUUCUAACCCGGUCAUCUUGCUUACAGUUGAAAAUCAUGAAAUACUCUCUUACCAGUUUUGUUUUGUUACAUGGGGGACGUAGAUGUAUGAGUUCUUCUUCUUCUUUUUUUCUUUCGAUUUUCAAUUGGUGAAACAAUACAUUUCUGUGUUUUAUCGCAGUGUUUUAACAGUUAUACAACACAUUUGGAGGAUAUACUCAGACCCUUAUUCUCCUCUAUCUUCUGAAUUGUGACCAAUUAAUUAUGAAGUUUGCUGUUGCCCCUCCUUGUUCCUUUCUUUUCUUCUACUUUGAGCCAUCUUACUUGGUUAACCGAAUCUGAAAGUGUUUGAUGUCAUGAUGACCUUGAAAUGAGAAAUUGUGAUUGAUGUGAAAAUUGCGUUUCUCUGAUGGUAUCUCGCAAUCCCCUGAUAGCAACUUUCUGUUCUACUAAUGACUAUGGGAUCGCACGUCAAGGAAACUAUGGCAUUUUUUUGAUGUCACCUAUUGAAUAAUAUGAGAAAAUAGUAGGAUGUGAAAUUGGAAUAGUGUCGGCUGCUCGCACAAGAUAUCCGAGCAAUAAAUGUACAUUUGAGUAAACAACUGUCCAGGACCAUGGCCUGUCUUCUUCUUGUCAGUAUAAUCAUACAUAAUAACUUAAUAAGCAUCAGAGCAUGUUCUAUUUCUUUAACAGACGGGUUGUCUCCACGCCACUUCUGGCCGUACUUCCUGUCCACCUAAAAUCCAUCUUCUCUGGAGUAUUUUCAAUUCCUGAUUCUGUUCCGACGUCAAUGGGGGUUGUCAAAUCCUUCUCCGGCAGGGAACGAAUCUCUAUCUUAAGGCAUUGUGGGCCAGUUCCGGGGAGGACCCAGGAACCCUCUCUCGAUGCGAACUCAUCGAGAGAGAAGAACGUCGGCACUGAAAAUUAGGCUCUCUGAGCGUGCGUCGAUACUACUCGUCCACAGUUUGGGUACAAUCGGUAUUGUGGUGUUGGGCAUUUUGGCAAAGUCGUCGUAAAGAAAUAAAGAAGAAUGUCUCACAUCGUCAUCGACUCAUUUCCAAGCAAGAAGGGCAUGUACCAUUUUGAACUCUGCUCUGCUCAUGUCAAGAUUGUGAAUUAAAGGAAAAUAUCGAACUAAAGAAGAUACGAACACAUCCAGUACACAAACACAUCGACUGGUUCAUUCAUAUAAGCACGAGCCAAACAUCAAACACAUAGCCUACUAGACAUAGCACGUGAAAAUACUUCAAUUCCACUCGCCAGUUUGGAUAUCUCCAAAACCGAAACGAAAAACAAGAAAACACACUUGAGCAAACUACGCCAUCCUUUCAUUAUUCUUCAUUCCCCAUAAGACUUGCAGACUCGCUCACCGAAGCCGCUAGAGCUCAGCUCCGCGAGGCCACUUUCAAGCGACCUUGACCUCGACCGUCUUCGGCUUCUUUGGCUCCGGUGGGGGCAGCUUCUCCACCGUGACCGUCAGCACCCCGUCGCGGCACACCGCGGAGACCGCCUCCGUGUUCGCGUUCUCUGGCAGCGUGAACUUCCUCAUGAACUUGCCAACCCGCCGCUCCAUCCGCAGGUACUUGGCCCCCUCCUUCUCCUCCUCGCGCUUCCUCUCGCCGCUGAU